rnacentral:rRNA from 1 species
AACGGCAGCACAGUAAGAGCUUGCUCUUAUGGGUGGCGAGUGGCGGACGGGUGAGGAAUACAUCGGAAUCUACUUUUCGUGGGGAUAACGUAGGGAAACUUACGCUAAUACCGCAUACGACCUUCGGUGAAAGCAGGGACCUUCGGGCCUUGCGCGAUUGAAUGAGCCGAUGUCGGAUUAGCUAGUUGGCGGGGUAAAGGCCCACCAAGGCGACGAUCCGUAGCUGGUCUGAGAGGAUGAUCAGCCACACUGGGACUGAGACACGGCCCAGACUCC